UGAUUUCUUCGGAAUGAAACCAGAUAUGCCUAGUGGCGGACGGGUGAGUAACACGUGAGCAACCUAUCCUAUACAACGGGAUAACACAGAGAAAUUUGUGCUAAUACGGUAUAAGACCACACUCCGGCAUCGGAGAGGGGUAAAAGCUGAGGCGGUAUAGGAGGGGCUCGCGGCCCAUUAGCUAGUUGGAGAGGUAACGGCUCACCAAGGCGACGAUGGGUAGCCGAUCUGAGAGGAUGAACGGCCACAUUGGAACUGAGAAACGGUCCAAACUCC
rnacentral:rRNA from 1 species